CAUGCAUCAGUUUUGUACUUGAAGUUAGGAAUAUUGGCUGUAUACUUGCUUGAUAGCCUUAGUAAAACAUUUGGUCAGCUUCUUGAGAAAGGAAUGUGCAAAUUAAGUGCCCAAUCAAGAACCACUUAAGCCAACAAUGAACUUGAAGACGCCAAUCCACAUCGGAGCUUUCCCAGGAAUGUGGCUUGGCUGGUAAGAAACUCAGUCAUGCGUGGUCAUGUGACUUGCCCAUGUGACUCCAAAACUCCAUCUUCGAGCUGGACUUUGCAUAGGAGAGAGGAGGGGGUCUCCACCCACAAGAGAUAGUCUAUGUAAACCCUUGGGAGACCCCUCCAUUUUGGUCUUGAGCUGGCUAAAUAGAGAGCCUCUCCACCCCCAAGGAUUCCUGAAAGAAACUGGAACAAAGGACAGUAACUACAGCAGGUGUGAGUGAUUGCUGGACCCAGACUAGAAGGAGACUUACUGGAUUCCUCUAAGGCCCACAGAGAGCUGCAGCAACCAGGGCCAGAGAAGCAGCCCAGGAUGCUGGAGGCAGAGCAGCAGCAGCAGCCGUGCUGAGGCAGAAUAGAGCUGGAGCUGGAGCAGUCCGGAGCCAGAAUGCUCGGAGUGGUGCUUCAUUCACAUGUCUCUCUGCUGCCACAUCAAAAAAGGAAGAGUUUAGUAACUGGAAAUCCUCACUAAAUAUGUUCUCCUUCACCCCAGAAACAACAGAAGUUAAUGAGAAUAUCACUGACCAGCUGGGACUAUACUGUGCCAUGCAGCAUUAAUUGCUUUCAGUGAGCAGCUUUAACUAAUAAGUCAAUGGCACAGUAUGAUUUCUCAUUAAUAGUAAUUUCUGUAGUACAACUACUACAUUGGUUCUUUCCAAGGAACCCUAGGAAGGGGGGGAAGCUGUUGCAAGGCAUUGUCUCUUUGAGAUAUGUCAGCCUCCACAUCUAAAACUAAUGUAUCUAUUUGGAAAGUCCCAGUACAAAAAUAGCAACCUAGAGAAUGAAGUGUAUGGAUCAAAGCCAUUGUUUAGCCAACAGAAGUAUAUAGCACCAUUGGUAUGUGUUUAUGCCCUCUGCACUCUGUAGGCCAAAUUCAGCUGUGCAUUGAAGUAAUGAGUGGUGCCAGCUCAUACCAGUUAUAACUUUGAUCCUGUAUUUUCAAUAAAAAUAAAAUAUUUCCAGGGAUACAUUUGUUCUUUGUAUGUAUUUUUCCUAUAAAAAGAAUGAAUUCUAGUAUUAUUAAAGUACAUUAAUCUAAAUUAAAAGCUACAAGCAUUUUACAUCUCAAUGGACACAAAAUAGAUUGACACUGAAUAGAUUAUAUAAAUUAAAACAGUGUGUGAUUGGCACAGACAUGGCCUGGCAGGACCCAAAUGAAAGUGCCAAUUCAGGACAAAUUGCUUAAACAGGGCAGUUACAGCCCAAGGCUGGGCUUUUUCCACCUUUAAGGCAAACCAACCACAAGUCACAGAAGCAAUUCCCUUAGACACUCCAGUUUCCCAGUAUCGCCACCAGUGCCACUCGUUAUGGGGAUGAAUGGUUAUGAAAACCAAUACCCCAGGAAAAGAAAAAAGGUUCUCCUGAUCCCAAAGGACCAAGCCCCAGACCCAGGUCAAUAUACAAAUCAGAUCUUACCCACAAAUCACGCUGUUGCCAAUCCUUUAGAAUCUAAAAUCUAAACAUUUAGUCAUAAAAGGAAAAAGAUAGAGAUGAGAGUUAGAAUUGGUUAAAUGGAAUCAAUUACAUACAGCUAUGGCGAAGUUCUUGGUUCAGGCUUGUAGCAGUGAUGGAAUAAACUGCAGGUUCAAAUCAAGUCUCUGGAAUACAUCCCCAGCUGGGAUGGGUCAUCAGUCCUUUUUGUAGAGCUUCAGUUUGUAGCAAAGUCCCUCCAGAGGUAAGAAGCAGGAUUGAAGACAAGAUGGAGAUGAGGCAUCAGCCUUUUAUAGUCUUUUCCAGGUGUAAGAACACCGCUUUGUCCUUACUGUGGAAAAUUACAGCAAAAUGGAGUCUGGAGUCACAUGGGCAAGUUCCUGCAUACUUUGCUGAGUUACAAGGCGUAUCUGCCUUCUUUCCAUGGAUCAAUUGUAUAGCUGAUGGUCCUUAAUAGGCCAUCAAGCAGGCUAGGCAGAGCUAACACCAACUUGUCUGGGAUGUCUCCCAGAAGCAUAGCAUAAGAUUGAAAUACAGACAGUUUAGAGCCAAUAUUCAUAACUUCAACUACAAAAUUGAUACACACAUAUAGACUGCAUAAUCACAACCAGCAAACCAUAACCUUGUCUUAGACACCUCAUUUGACCCCCUUUAUACAAGAUUUGGUGCCACUAAGGACCUUGGUUGCAACAAUGAUCUAUAUGGUCCCAGAUUAUAUCAAUAACGUCAUACCCACCAACAACCUUUUUGUUGUCUUACUAACAAGAGUUCUGUGUAUAAUUGUUUGAUAUAAUUGGUGUUUAUUAAGGCUUGAUCCCAAACCAAAAACUUGUUUCUGAACACCCCAGAGUUUGAGGGCAUUAAAAUGAUCCAAACAAAGAUCUGACUCACUUUUGCAAAAGGCCCCUAUUUGUUAAUAGGUCAAACUCUGCAUUCAAAGACCCUUUACUUAAUGCUAGAUCUGUAAAUUGCAACUUGAGUCCAACUCUAGUAUUUAGUAAAAUCAGUAAAAUGUAUUCCAUUCCUGUAGUUUUUUUCAACUCGCUUAUGUGUAGCUGCUUAGGUAAGUUAUUUACUUCACUACAGUAAUAUCAUUCACAAGAGCACUGCCAUUAAGAGGCUGUUGUUGCUGAUGGGUUGGCAACAGUAGGACCUGAUUAUUCUGUGAGUUCUACCCAGGUGACUCCUAGUGACUUCAUUGGCAGUUGUACCUGCACAACUGACAAGAUAAUCAGGACCAUGAUGAGUGUGGAUGCUCAAAUGGAGGGAAGGGGUUGAAAUUAUUCUUUUGUUUCUUCCUAGAGGAGUAGGGAAGGGGGAGAAGUUUGUAAUUGCAGCCUGAGAAAGUGCAACAGUACAUUCAGCUACCAAGUCCCCUUUCCAUGACCUGCUACAAGUACCUUGGUUUUUGUUUUAUAUGUACAAAUAUAAGAAAAUGGGAGUGGAGUCAGGAACAUCUUUACUGUACUCAUAGCAGUUGCUUAUGGCAACAAAACAUUAGAGGUCCUAAAAGCUAGAGUCACCAGGGUACUUAGUGUUGUACUGCCUAAUUCGUAGGCACCCUGGUGAUUAGGGUAAUUCUGUACCCUGAGUUAGGUGCCCAGAUUCCCCAUUAAUUGUAUAGGGAGAGUUAGGCCACUAGGAAUUGGAUUCUCCAAAGACAGUAAACUGAGCACAGAGCCACCUAAGCUAGCCAGAAGUGAAAUGCAGAAGAAAGGGGUGGGGCUUAGGCCAGAUCCUCAAAGGUAAUUAGGCACCUAACUCCCAUUGAUCUGGACCUUAAGCGCUUGACAGGCUGGAGGCAGGCAUCUCUCUCUGUGUGGGAUUCUCAGGUGUGAACCUUCUCCUGGAGUUAGGUGCCUAGGCUGAGAGGAGGGAAGAGGAGAAGAGGGAGAGAGAGAGACUGACCCCACCCCAUUAUAGCCAAUAGCCUAGUGGUUAGUGCAUGAGGGCUGCAGAACUACAAUCCCUGUGUGACAGGUUGGACCACAGAA